rnacentral:lncRNA from 1 species
UUGCUAUUAUAUUAAACUAAUUAAAUAAAAGAAAUAAAAGAUAGAAAUGGAGAAAUGGAAACAGAAUAGGCAAACGAAAACAGGGGAGAAAGGAAAGAAAAAGAAAAAGGGAAGGAAAGGAAGAAAAUUUGGGAUUUCAAGAUUUCAAGCUCAAUUGGUAAGUUAAAUUAAGUCAUUUUCUUAUAAUUUUUGAGUUUUUGGUAUCCUAGAACAAAGUAUUAUUGGAUUUAUGUUGAAAUUUGGGAAGUUAUUAUAUUUCUAGACAUUGAUUAUGUUGAAUAAAUGAAAGGAUUAGGGGUUAAAUUGAUUAAAUUUCAAGUUAGAAGUUAGUAAAAUGUUGAUUUGUAAAAUAAAUUAUAGGCUUUGAAUUAAUAGGGACUAAAUUGAGAGAAUUUCGAAAUUAUGGAUUUAUGGUGAAAAUGAAGAGUUAAAGUGAAUUUAUAGUAAGAAUUAAGAGAGAAUAUGGAGUUAGAUUGGAAAAAUAAAAUUAGUAUUGAUAAGGGAUUAAAUUAGAAUUUAGGUAAAGUUUAGGCAUAAAUGGAAAUAUUUUAAUGAAAUUGUGUAUUAAUGUUUUUUAAUUGUUUAAUUACGUAGCUAAUGUCGUGCAAGAGUCAUUGUCCGAGAAAGGAAAGGAGAAGGUGAACAAGGAGUGACUCGAGAAAAUUUACGGUUAGUAUUACCAUAAUUCGAAUUUAAUUAUUAAUUGUUAAAAUUUAAAUUAAUAUACAUGAUAAGCAAAUUGAGGUAAGAAUCAUGAUUGAAUUAAAUGAAAAAUACAUAUUGGUAUUGAAUUUAUUAAUAGUAAUUAUUGUUGAAUUUUAAAUAAUAUGUUUAGUAAAUAAAAAUAAGGUGAAUAUCGAUAUUGAAUUAAAUGAUAUUGAAUUGUAUGUGAAUUGAAUGAAAUUAAAAUGAAGUAUGAAUAGGUAUGAGCAUUUGAUGGUAUACUGAUUGAAAGGUGAAAAAUGUAUUGAAUUAAAUUGUGAUUAAAUUGGAAUUGAAAGUAUGAGAAAGUGAUUGAAUUGAAAUGUGAUUCGAAUACCCUAUUAACUUAUCGGACUAGAUUGGAUACAAAUGGCAUGCCAUAGGAUUUGUGAUGUGAUGAGGAGAUUUGUAGCUCGGCCGAGAAGAUGAUUAUGUUAUUAUAUGCUUCGGUUUAUCCGAAGAGGCAUUUAAUGCCUUAUUGGUGUGUUUGGGAGGAUAUGAUAUAUCGGUGUGUUAUGGAGGGUUUAUAUUUAUUUCAGGUGUGUUUUGGUUGGAUAUUCUGGUGUGUUUGGGUGGAAUCCGCGUAUCUGUCAGAGUCCGAGUCAAGUUAAUAGAGGCAAAUGAAAUAAAUUACUGAUAAAACUAAUCUCGAAUGAUAUAGUAUAUGUGAAAAGUGAAAUUUGAAAUAAAGAAAUAAAGAAAUAAGAAUGAUAUUUAUAUAUAUAAAUAAUUGAUAAUAUUAAAAGAUUGAAUUGUUUAUUAGUAGUGAUAAUUGUAAUGAAAUGUAUGAACCAUGGGUUCAAGAAAUAGAUAAUGAUACAGUUCAUGAACUGGUUUUGGUAGUAUGAGAUAAUGUAAAAAUCUAAGUGAAGAAAAGCAAAUUAAAAUAGCUAUUGUUGAGAAAUGAGAAGUGAAAAUAAAAUAAUUUGAAAUAGUGAAAUAAUAUGUGAAUUUAAUUGAAUACAAGUUAUUGAAAUUUAUUUAUGGAUUUAAUGUAUCAAUUGAGUGUUAAAAGAUUAUAAGUGUAAAAUUGAUUAUAACUGAACGAAUCGAAUUAAAAGAUAGUUAUUAUUAUUACUGUUGUUGAAACAAGUUGAUUUAAUGUAUUAAAUGUUUAUUGAAAGAUUAUGAAUUAUUAGAAUGAGAUGUCGAAAAAUCCAAUAGAAUUGAGACAGUGAAAUAAGGUAUGAAUACAACUAAAUACAAGAUUUGAAAUAUUGCUUAUUGUUAUUAAUUAUCAGGUUGAUUUAAAGUACGAGAAAAUGUAUUGAAUAAUUGUAGACAUAAUUUUAAAUGUAUAUAAUUUAUCGAUUAAUGUUAUUAAUUUGAAUUAUGGUAAUACCACUGAGUAUUUCUAUACUCAGCGUGCGGUUGUCUCCGUGCGCAGGUUAGUAGAAAGCCAGUGUCCGGUCCAGCAUCCAGAGCAAUCCCGAACUCAGAGAAAUUUUAGUGAUGUACCUUUGUUUGAUAAUGUGGCAUGUACCUAGGUGAUGUAUAGGUUAAGAAUAAAAGUUUUGUUAUUACGGUUGUAGAAUGAUGUUUAAAUUGGUUAUAAGUAUGAAAUGGAACUAAUAUGACAUAUUUGAUACAAG